GGAGAGGAGUAACCCAAGUUCUUAUCAAUAAUUCCCUUGGGGUGGAUUAGAGUGAAACGACACUGAAUAAUCGGUGUCUGAAAACAUACAUAGGUAGGGUUUAUUUUAACAAUUGUUCAUCAGAGGUAUAAUGCAAGUCAAAAGUCUGCAAACUUGGCUCUUUACUGGAGGGAGGGAUGGGCCCAACUGUCCAUCCGAAAUGCAAGUCAAAAGCCUGCAAAAGUCUCCUAGAAUGCAUAAAUCAUUAAACAUUUCAGCCUCUGACAGCCUCGCCUUCAGCUCUGCCCUGUGCCCUCAGCACAGGCCUGAUGUGCAGGCCCUGCCAUGUUCCUGCAGGUCCAGGCCCAGCCCUUCCCCACACGCACUCAGACACUCACUGUGAGUUGGUUCCGACCCACAUCCAUAAUUCAGUGAGAUUCGGAUCCAGGAUCUCGCAACUGGUUAUACAGAUUAAUGUCGAUUGGUUUAACAACAGGAAAAAAUGCAGUCAGAGGCCUGGGCUGAACUCAUAGCUAGACUGUGGUCAGCACAGUGCAAGUAUGCUCCGUAAAACCAAUGUCUUUUUCAAAGAGAAGAUUGGUAUCGAGUGACAGACAAAAUAGAGGCAUAUGAAUUGCCUGAAGGUCGGAGGCAGAACUGGAGAUCUGCUCCUGUGUCCUAGCUACAGAAUUACGUCGCUAUGAAGCAGUCACCUUCUUUCAAAUGUUACCCAUGUUUUCUUUAAGUUAUUUAUUCUUCAGUGCUUUUUCCAUGCACUGAAUUUUUAUUAAUGUCAACUUUUCUCCCCAAAACUGUUGCUGUGGUUCUUUUCAUUUAAAGAAUAAUAAAAAUACCAAAAAUCUGCAAA